rnacentral:rRNA from 1 species
AUUGAACGCUGGCGGCAUGCCUUACACAUGCAAGUCGAACGGCAGCACGGGUGCUUGCACCUGGUGGCGAGUGGCGAACGGGUGAGUAAUACAUCGGAACAUGUCCUGUAGUGGGGGAUAGCCCGGCGAAAGCCGGAUUAAUACCGCAUACGAUCUACGGAUGAAAGCGGGGGCCCUUCGGGCCUCGCGCUAUAGGGUUGGCCGAUGGCUGAUUAGCUAGUUGGUGGGGUAAAGGCCUACCAAGGCGACGAUCAGUAGCUGGUCUGAGAGGACGACCAGCCACACUGGGACUGAGACACGGCCCAGACUCCUACGGGAGGCAGCAGUGGGGAAUUUUGGACAAUGGGCGAAAGCCUGAUCCAGCAAUGCCGCGUGUGUGAAGAAGGCCUUCGGGUUGUAAAGCACUUUUGUCCGGAAAGAAAUCCUUGGCCCUAAUACGGGCGGGGGAUGACGGUACCGGAAGAAUAAGCACCGGCUAACUACGUG